rnacentral:rRNA from 1 species
GCACAAGCGGUGGAGCAUGUGGUUCAAUUCGAAGCAACGCGAAGAACCUUACCAGCCCUUGACAUCCCGGUCGCGGGAACGAGAGAUCGAUCCCUUCAGUUCGGCUGGACCGGAGACAGGUGCUGCAUGGCUGUCGUCAGCUCGUGUCGUGAGAUGUUGGGUUAAGUCCCGCAACGAGCGCAACCCUCGCCCUUAGUUGCCAUCAUUUAGUUGGGCACUCUAAGGGGACUGCCGGUGAUAAGCCGCGAGGAAGGUGGGGAUGACGUCAAGUCCUCAUGGCCCUUACGGGCUGGGCUACACACGUGCUACAAUGGCGGUGACAGUGGGAUGCAAUGGGGCAACCCUGCGCAAAUCUCAAAAAGCCGUCUCAGUUCGGAUUGCACUCUGCAACUCGAGUGCAUGAAGUUGGAAUCGCUAGUAAUCGCAGAUCAGCACGCUGCGGUGAAUACGUUCCCGGGC